GGCAGCAGCUGAGACCAGGCGCUGCCGCAACCUGCGUGCGCGCCUGCGCAGUGCGUUUUCGUAAGAGGCGUGUGACCCAGGAGCUUGCACUACGCAUGCGUCCUUUCUCCGCUUUGCUGAAGCCCGGAAACGCCGGGACUGUGAUUGUGCGCUCUCCAGGUAUUGUUACCUUGGUCUCCCAAGACUUAAAGGUAAUUAAAGGUAAAAGUCGUCCGCCUUAGCCCUGGAAAAUUUAAAAAUAACUACCACCUUUUUUCCCCCCUAUCAGGUCUUUUCUUUUUGCAAAGCGGAAAAAAAAAACUAUCUGCCUCAAGCCUCAGCUGAGCAGCCUUCUAGUCCACGCUUUGCGAGUCCUCGUUCACGCUCGCGACGCUGGGAGUAGGAUAAACUGGUUGGUAGACGCGCGUCUGGCAGCCGAAAAGACACAUCAUUUAAAAUUUAGAACCUCUUGCCCGGCAGAAGGCUGGCAGGGACCGAAAGUGAUGGUGGUGAAGAGAUAUUCCAAGUGUAAGUGAUAAACUAAUUGAAUAACUUGUAAGUAUUUGAAUGCAUAAAAAUGUUGAGAUCAGGCUCUGUAUUUAAUUAGUUAAUGUAAGCUUUCAAUGUUAUUACUAAAUUAAAAUGCUAAGCUGUCUAAGAUUUUAUCUUAUUGUUUGCCCCUUUAUGAAUGGAAGAGACAACCAUACAAGCCAG
rnacentral:lncRNA from 1 species